CCUACGGGGGGCUGCAGUGGGGAAUAUUGCACAAUGGGGGAAACCCUGAUGCAUCAACGCCGCGUGAGCGCUGAAGGCCUUCGGGUCGUAAAGAUCUGUCCUAAGGGAAGAAUACUGACGGUACCUUAGGAGGAAGCCCCGGCUAACUACGUGCCAGCAGCCGCGGUAAUACGUAGGGGGCUAGCGUUAUCCGGAAUUUCUGGGCGUAAAGGGUGCGUAGGCGGCCCUUCAAGUCCGGGGUGAAAGGCUACGGAAUAACCGUAGUAAGCCUUUGAAGCUGUGGGGCUUGAGUACAGGGGAGGGCGGCUGGACUCCCAGUUUAUUCGUGAAAGUUGUAUAUAUUGGGAGGAAAACCACUUGCGAAUUCGGCUGAGUGGACUGUAAAAAACCUUUAGCCACGAAAGCGUGGGUAGUAAACGGGAUUAGAUUCCUGAUUAGGC
rnacentral:rRNA from 1 species